rnacentral:rRNA from 1 species
CGCGUAGGCGGCCGAUCAAGUCAGGCGUGAAAUUCCCGGGCUCAACCUGGGGGCUGCGCUUGAUACUGAUUGGCUUGAAUGCGGGAGAGGAUAGUGGAAUUCCCAGUGUAGAGGUGAAAUUCGUAGAUAUUGGGAAGAACACCGGUGGCGAAGGCGGCUAUCUGGCCCGUAAUUGACGCUGAGGCGCGAAAGCGUGGGAGCAAACA